rnacentral:rRNA from 1 species
GAGUGAACAGGGAAAAGCCCAGCACCGAAGCCUGUGGCCGUUUGGUCUCUAGGCAAUGUGGUGUUCAGGUCAGCUCGCAGAGAUACUGCUCCACCCUAAGUCCUGUAAUGAGUAAGGUUACUGGAGCGGCCCACAGAGGGUGAAAGGCCCGUGGGGGUGGAGAUGCAGAUGAGUCAGUGUCUCUAUGAGUGGACCUUGGAGUCGGGUUGUUUGUGAAUGCAGCCCAAAGUGGGUGGUAAACUCCAUCCAAGGCUAAAUACUGGCACGAGUCCGAUAGCGAACAAGUACCGUGAGGGAAAGUUGAAAAGUACUUUGAAGAGAGAGUAAACAGUGCGUGAAACCGCUCAAAGGUAAACGGGUGGAGUUGAACUGCAAGCUCCGGGAAUUCAACUGGUGAGUGUGAUGUGAGCUUGGCACAUAGUUGUACAUCUGGGUCUGCUUAGCUGCAGGUCUCCGCCUCUGGUGGGGAUGCGCGAAUCACUUAUCAUGUGUUGUGCGCCCGGGCUGUGUCGAACUGGCUCGCCAGUGCACUUUCUCGGAGUAGUCACCACGACCGGCGUUGCUGCCUUGCUGUUGCGGUUAAACCGGCCUUGUAGGGUCCCUGUGGCCUUGCUUGGUCGGGAUGGCAGGUAGCCCGUUGUGUACUUCUGUGCGCCUCGGGUGUAAUAGCUGACUGCAUCGGUUUUGUGCGGUACGUCGGAGACGGCGGCUUGUUGUGCGUGCGUGCGUACCUUGUGCGCUGGCGGCGCUGGGUCCGGUUGCCAUGUUGCUUGUGAAUGCAGGCCUGGUGAUGGCUCGGUGUUGUUCGGUGUGCGGAUGCGUGUGUGGCACUUUAAAGGGCCAAUAGUCUGUGGUGUAGUGGUAGACUAUCCACCUGACCCGUCUUGAAACACGGACC